rnacentral:lncRNA from 1 species
GGAGCCGCAGUGGGUUUCAGUUCAAGUUUUGGGCCAUGCAGGGUGCUCAAGGCAUGGGGAGAUGCCAAGAGUAGGCGGAGCAAGCUUCCUCUGCAUCUGAUCUGAAAAAAAAAAAAAAAAAAAAAACCGACACGGGGAAAGGCUGUCCCCAGGUGCACAGAGGACUGAUCCCCGGAGACCAGUCCCCAGCAGGCCAGCUGGGUGAGGAGGGCAAGGAAUGAAGAUGUUUAUAUGUGACGAGACUGAAGCUCGACUUGUCAUCUCUAAGUGCACGUAGCUGUGGAUUCCUAGAACUGGGCAGCCCUGCUCUACAGUGCGACAACAUGAAGGCCAGCAGUCAUUGGACAACAGGGAGAAAGGAGUUCAGCACCUGUGAAGCAAAGCCAAGAAGUGGCACCUGCAGGCUGGCAGAGCUAUCGCUGGUCCUGAAGCUGAGAGACAGGGUUCCCAGGAACAUCUUGACCGAGUUCCCCGCUUCCACGACACCACGGUGGCAGGUGCCGAACAUCUCCUGGUCACCUGUGAUGUAUCAAAUCCACAAAUAUCUCUGGAGAAACACCUCUGAAGGAUAAGUCAGCUGAUUUCCAUUGCUGCUGCUGGUGCCGGGAAGUGCAGAGCCAAAUGAUCAGUUGGAGUGACCACAGUGCCUGGAGUGAGUCCACAUUUGGGGAAUAUGAUACCAGAUCAGUAUAGGAGUGAGGGAGUGGCUGGAGUCCAGCUCAUGGCAUGAUGCCGCCCACAUUUGGAGUGAACCUUUCCUCCUCAGCCAAAUCUCUAUGGAAACACCCUCACAGACACAUCCAGAAGUGUGCUUUCUAGAUAACUGGAAGUGCAGUCAAGUUGACAAUCAAGAUUAGCUCUCAUCCCACCCAGCCCAUCUGGGUUCAGGCUCCAGACAUUCCUGCAUGGAACCCAGACUCCUGGGGAGAAGCACAGCCAUGAAACAAUGGCUAGAAUCCACACACGGUGAGGGCUGCCAGCUGCUCCAGAUUUCCAUGAUCAUGCACCAGACGUCUGCCAUCCCACGGUGUGGCCUAUGUUGAAGCUUCCUUAGUUCCAGAAUGGUUUCCAAGCUUGGUUCUGUGUCUUGGCCCCCACUUCCCUGAUUAAAGGACAGUUGGGCUGAUCACUAGGCACUGGGCCCAUGAAGAGGAACAUGUUGAUGUAUGUGAGCAUUCCCAAGAACAAAGCACUGAUCCAUGAUAUAAUGGGCCAGGCAGUAGCAUUUAGUGGAAGCCCUCAAUUCUUCAAGGUGGGUGUAAUUAACAUAAUGGGCUUCAAGUUCUCAACAAGGACAAGGGGCAAGUGUCCUGACUUUCAGAGCUGUAGGGAAUGGAGGUAAAUCCUGGAAGAGGCGUUCUCUGUGGCCCAGGGAUAGCCUCUAAGACACUGCCUCAUAUUGGAAAUCGGAAGAGUGGGGAAUGGUUUCUCAUACAAAUGCCCAUCACAGGACAAAUGUAUAAGCACGUGUAGCAUACUCAGUCAGGAACAAAAACUCAUGCAUCCGUUUGUGUGGUUUCAUUUGCAUGGAAGUUGGUUUUCUUGGGAGAAUCCAUACAAAGUAUAGUCAGUUCUCCAUACUUGUAAUAAGUCUAUGGAGCUAUGUGCGUUUUAAAGAUAUGAAAAAUUUCUAGCUCACAGAUACGGAAGCUGAAAACCCAUGACCAGAUGACCCCAUCUGUACCACCCCUGCUGAGAGUCCUCUUGGCUGGCAGAUGGCAGUGGGGGGAGUUAGUGCAAGAGGAAGAGGUCACAUGGUAGAAAAGGGAACCAGAGAGAGGUGGGAAAGGGCCAAUCAGGCUCCAACAGGCCUUCCUUUUUAAAGCCCCCCCCCCCCCCACCACUGAGUGUCAAGCCAGACCCAGACUACAGGAUGAGGGUAAGCAGGUUAGUGAUGACAGGGUACCCAGGAGCCAUUAGCACAGGGUUUCAUUCUGUAGUGACAAAGGGGUCCUCGAAGCAGACAGAAACAGUGAAUGUGUAGCCCUGGGUAUCCUGGAAACUGCUGGCUGGACAUUUUAAUGGGAAAAAUUUGGAUGUUUUACAUGCUUUUUGUUGUUGGUGGUG